GGUGAGGUGUCCGAGUGGUUUAAGGAGCACGCCUGGAAAGCGUGUGUACGUUAAUAGCGUACCGAGGGUUCGAAUCCCUCUCUCACCGCCA
rnacentral:tRNA from 1 species